GGAAUAGCUGGGAAGCUUUUGCCAAAACCCUUCCAUCUGGGAAAAGCACCGUGCACUUGCAGUGGAACUGUGCUGAGUCAGUGCAUUAUCUUGGUGCCAUUCCACAGGGCUGAAGAAGUCAGAACAAGACUGUCCUUGUGCCCAGGUCUCAAGUUGUGUCCCCAUGGCAUGAAGCUUCCCAGAGUCCUGAGACUCGACCUCGGGAUGAAGCCUGGUGUUAUUUGAGAAAGCCUGAGCGUGGUAUCCACGGAGAGGACAACGUGCUCUAGGUGGCACAUCCUUAUUUUACUGAUGUCACAAACAAGUUAUUCUUGUGCACUGCAGAGAGCCUCACAGCCACAAAACCAGCAAUAAUUUUAUAAAUGAUAAGCUUGUUUUCCUCCUCCUGUUCCCAGAUACUCUGAGUGCAGCAGACAGCAGAGAUGUGCAUUGCUGGAAUCCAGAGGGUUUCGUAAUUUGGCAGCCACUUGCUGAAAGCCCUGCAGAUACAAAACAACACUUAUUUCAAGUCUUGAGAAACAUCUCCUACUAAGUAGAAGAAAAAAGCAUUUAGUUUGAUGCAGAUCCUCAAGCUGUAUGCAAAAGGCAAGGAGACGUGCCUGGAAAUGCAUUAUCCAAGGGACACAGACACAGCUUUUUGACAGGCUGCUCUUCCUGCUAACACCUGGUAAAUGCAGAGACCUGGCUCCAUCCAUCUCUUUUCUUCAGGAAGGAGCAAUUUAUGCAAGAAUUUCAGUGUGGAUCUGACUUUAGGCUUUAUUGCUGUUUGUCACCCUUCAGGAAAUACAUCCCUGGCUCCAGCACUCAAUCCCUGCUGGCAUUCUGA